rnacentral:rRNA from 1 species
UACGGGGGGAGCAAGCGUUGUUCGGAUUUACUGGGCGUAAAGGGCGCGUAGGCGGCGUGACUAGUCACUUGUGAAAUCUCCGGGCUUAACUCGGAACGGUCAGAUGAUACUGCUUUGCUAGAGUGCAGAAGGGGCAAUCGGAAUUCUCGGUGUAGCGGUGAAAUGCGUAGAUAUCGAGAGGAACACCAGAGGUGAAGACGGGUUGCUGGGCUGACACUGACGCUGAGGCGCGAAAGCCAGGGGAGCAAACGGG